rnacentral:rRNA from 1 species
CCUACGUGAGGCAGCAGUGGGGAAUAUUGCACAAUGGGGGAAACCCUGAUGCAGCGACGCCGCGUGAGUGAAGAAGUAAUUCGUUAUGUAAAGCUCUAUCAGCAGGGAAGAAAAUGACGGUACCUGAGUAAGAAGCCCCGGCUAACUACGUGCCAGCAGCCGCGGUAAUACGUAGGGGGCAAGCGUUGUCCGGAUUUACUGGGUGUAAAGGGAGCGUAGACGGCAGUGCAAGUCUGGAGUGAAAGGCGGGGGCUCAACCCCCGGACUGCUCUGGAAACUGUACGGCUGGAGUGCAGGAGAGGUGAGUGGAAUUCCUAGUGUAGCGGUGAAAUGCGUAGAUAUUAGGAGGAACACCAGUGGCGAAGGCGGCUUACUGGACUGUAACUGACGUUGAGGCUCGAAAGCGUGGGGAGCAAACAGGAUUAGAUACCCGAGUAGUC